rnacentral:rRNA from 1 species
GACGAACGCUGGCGGCGUGCCUAAUACAUGCAAGUCGAACGCAGUGGGGACGGGUGAGUAACACGUGGGUAACCUCCCAUCAGAGGGGAUAACACUUGGAAACAGGUGCUAAACCGCUACUGAUGGAUGGACCCGCGUUGCAUUAGCUAGUUGGUGAGGUAACGGCACACCAAGGCCACGAUGCAUAGCCGGCCUGAGAGGAUGAUCGGACACACUGGGACUGAGACACGGCCCAGACUCCUACGGUAGGCAGCAGUGGGGAAUCUUGGGCAAUGGACGAAAGUCGGACCCAGCAACGCCGCGUGGAGGAAGAAGGUUUUCGGAGCGUAAAACUCUGUUGUCAGGGAGGCGGUAUCUAACCAGAAAGCCACGGCUAACUACGUGCCAGCAGCCGCGGUAAUAC